rnacentral:rRNA from 1 species
CUACGGGCGGCUCCAGUGGGGAAUAUUGCACAAUGGGGGAAACCCUGAUGCAGCAACGCCGCGUGGAGGAUGACGCAUUUCGGUGUGUAAACUCCUUUUAUAUCCCAAGAUAAUGACGGUAGGAUAUGAAUAAGCACCGGCUAACUCCGUGCCAGCAGCCGCGGUAAUACGGAGGGUGCAAGCGUUACUCGGAAUCACUGGGCGUAAAGGGCGCGUAGGCGGGUUGUCAAGUCUUGAGUGAAAUCCAACGGCUCAACCGUUGAACUGCUUGAGAAACUGGCAGCCUAGAGUGAGGGAGAGGUAGAUGGAAUUGGUGGUGUAGGGGUAAAAUCCGUAGAGAUCACCAGGAAUACCCAUUGCGAAGGCGAUCUGCUGGAACUCUACUGACGCUGAGGCGCGAAAGCGUGGGGAGCAAACAGGAUUAGAUACCCUCGUAGUC